CCCUUAGAUGUUCUGGGCCGCACACGAGCUACACUGAAGGAGGCAGCGUGUACUCCUGGAUCGAAAGAUUUGGGUAACCCGCGAAUCUCCUUCGUGCUAGGGAUUGAGGUUUGCAAUUAUCCUUCAUGAACGAGGAAUUCCCAGUAAGUGCAAGUCAUAAGCUUGCGCUGACUACGUCCCUGCCCUUUGUACACACCGCCCGUCGCUACUACCGAUUGAAUGAUUUAGUGAGGACUUCGGACUGGGACCGAUGCGGCUUUCGGGCUGCGUCGGUAUUCUGGAAAGAUGUCCAAACUGUAUCAUUUAGAGGAAGUAAAANUCGUANCA
rnacentral:rRNA from 1 species